CGUACUAGCCGGGGCGGUAGCGGUGCCCUGUACUUGCAAUCCGCUAUAGCAAGGGUGAAUACUCUGCCGAGGGGCGGUUUUGUAUGGCUGGCGUUUGUAUAAAGGCUAUGAGGCUUUGGUCCUGUGCGACCGGGGUCCGUGAACCUUGUCAGGCGGGGAACCGAGCAGCAAUAAGCGGUGUCCCCGGUGUGUUACAGGGGCGCCAGGGCUGAGCCGGCUGCAGACUU
rnacentral:SRP_RNA from 1 species